rnacentral:rRNA from 1 species
UACGAAGGGGGCUAGCGUUGUUCGGAAUUACUGGGCGUAAAGCGCACGUAGGCGGGUCGUUAAGUCAGGGGUGAAAUCCUGGAGCUCAACUCCAGAACUGCCUUUGAUACUGAAGAUCUUGAGUUCGGGAGAGGUGAGUGGAACUGCGAGUGUAGAGGUGAAAUUCGUAGAUAUUCGCAAGAACACCAGUGGCGAAGGCGGCUCACUGGCCCGAUACUGACGCUGAGGCACGAAAGCGUGGGGAGCAAACAGG